AUUGAACGCUAGCGGGAUGCCUUACACAUGCAAGUCGAACGGCAGCACGGACUUCGGUCUGGUGGCGAGUGGCGAACGGGUGAGUAGCGUAUCGGAACGUGCCCAGUAGCGGGGGAUAACUACGCGAAAGCGUAGCUAAUACCGCAUACGCCCUAAGGGGGAAAGCGGGGGAUCGCAAGACCUCGCACUAUUGGAGCGGCCGAUAUCGGAUUAGCUAGUUGGUGGGGUAAAGGCCUACCAAGGCGACGAUCCGUAGCUGGUUUGAGAGGACGGCCAGCCACACUGGGACUGAGACACGGCCCAGACUCCUACGGGAGGCAGCAGUGGGGAAUUUUGGACAAUGGGGGCAACCCUGAUCCAGCCAUUUCGCGUGUGCGAUGAAGGCCUUCGGGUUGUAAAGCACUUUUGGCAGGGAAGAAAGGGCUUAGGUUAAUAGCCUAGGUUGAUGACGGUACCUGCAGAAUAAGCACCGGCUAACUACGUGCCAGCCGCUGCGGUAA
rnacentral:rRNA from 1 species